rnacentral:rRNA from 1 species
GAUGAACGCUAGCGGCAGGCCUAAUACAUGCAAGUCGGACGGGAUCCGGGAGUAGCUUGCUACUUCCGGUGAGAGUGGCGCACGGGUGCGUAACGCGUGAGCAACCCGCCCAUAUCAGGGGGAUAGCCCGGAGAAAUCCGGAUUAACACCGCAUGACACGCCGGGACGGCAUCGUUCCGGCGUCAAAUAUUCAUAGGAUAUGGAUGGGCUCGCGUGACAUUAGCUAGUUGGUGGGGUAACGGCCCACCAAGGCGACGAUGUCUAGGGGCUCUGAGAGGAGAAUCCCCCACACUGGUACUGAGACACGGACCAGACUCCUACGGGAGGCAGCAGUAAGGAAUAUUGGUCAAUGGGGGCAACCCUGAACCAGCCAUGCCGCGUGCAGGACGACUGCCCUAUGGGUUGUGAACUGCUUUUGCCGGGGAAUAAACCCCACUACGUGUAGUGGGCUGAACGUACCCGGAGAAUAAGGAUCGGCUAACUCCGUGCCAGCAGCCGCAGUAA